AUUGAACGCUGGCGGCAUGCCUUACACAUGCAAGUCGAACGGUAACAGGUCUUCGGAUGCUGACGAGUGGCGAACGGGUGAGUAAUACAUCGGAACGUGCCCGAGAGUGGGGGAUAACGCAGCGAAAGCUGUGCUAAUACCGCAUACGAUCUACGGAUGAAAGCAGGGGAUUCGCAAGGACCUUGCGCUCAUGGAGCGGCCGAUGGCAGAUUAGGUAGUUGGUGGGAUAAAAGCUUACCAAGCCGACGAUCUGUAGCUGGUCUGAGAGGACGACCAGCCACACUGGGACUGAGACACGGCCCAGACUCCUACGGGAGGCAGCAGUGGGGAAUUUUGGACAAUGGGGAAACCCUGAUCCAGCCAUGCCGCGUGCAGGAUGACGGCCCUACGGGUUGUAAACUGCUUUUCCCCGGGGCGAAUAACCCCUCGCGAGGGGAGUGCCGGUACCGGGGAGUAAGGAGUACGGCUAACGUCCGUGCCAGCGAGCCGCGGUAAGUCUGU
rnacentral:rRNA from 1 species